rfam:Avibacterium paragallinarum JF4211, WGS project CBMK01000000 data, contig: 61
UCGUGCUUACAAAAAAGCGGAUGCUUUUUUGAACAUCGGCUAUGCCGAUGGGGCUAAAAGCCCGAGCAAAUUUCGCUAUUGCGAAAAUUGCGAGUAAAACGUCCAU